UCAAUUGAUUCAUUGAAGUGAACCGACUCAUUCGUGAACAAAUUAGACUUAGUCACUAAAAGCCCGUCCUUAACGUAUUCUUUUCACAAACAACACAUAUAGUAUACAUUUAAUUAAGAAUUUAAAUAAAGAGUGAGUCUACUUUGUCUGAAAAAUACUGAUAUAGUGUUAAAGUCUAUAUAUCUAUAAAUGUGGAACUGUUGUCUUCAGGUUGUUGUCAGUCGGAUUUCAGUCACAGAUGGGUCAUUUAGGAUGACGCCAGAAAGAUGGUGCUGCAGUUGUAACCAUAGGCCCGUUUCCAUUGUGACCCGGCUCGUCAGUACUCUGAGCGGGGGAGACACGAACAAAAGCAGAAGGUUGUGGUGGUCGGGAUCCCGAACCCCUUCAUCUGGAUCCGAACCCACAUCUACCUCUUCCUUAUCUGAGCUUCACGGAAGGAGCCACACAGUUCGAGGCUCUUGAAGGAUUAGUAGCUAAAGAUCUAAUAGGGAAACUUGAGGAAAAAUGCGCUAAGUUGUCUUUGAGCCACCAGAGGGCGCUGUCAGCUGAGUCUGAUGAGAUCAUGCACACAACAACAGGAGAUGUGGGCAUUCAAUAUGAUGAGAGUGGUGAGACCCUGUAAACUCAUUACCACGCAAUAUUCGCCCAGUGAUGAGUGCCAGACUUCCUGAUGAGAGUAUGGAGGGAGCAAGGAAAUUCCAGGUUGUCAUUGGUGGAGAGGGAGAGAGACCAGAGACCAAGAGAUUGCUGACAGCCAAUUAUGAAUUCCAAAGGGAGUUUACCCAAAGUGUGACUUCAGAUUGGAUCAUCAUCAGGAUAAAGCACUCAAAACUUCAUGACUAAGUGUGACUGGAGAGGGUUUUUUUUCAUGCUUUUUUAUUGCUCAUAAUGCCAAAACAUGUAGGGUCAAUUCACUAACCUUUACUGGAAAAAAUAACGCUGAAAUAUUGUCAGCUCCAGGUGCUUCCCAGGUGCUAUGGAAGGUUAUAAAUGUUGAUUUGCUGUAUGCUUCAGUGCAUUUCAUCUCACUGAUUUUACAUUCUUAACGUUGUUUUUUUUUACACUUUGUAUGAUGAGUUUUGGGGUGAAGCUGACUGCACAUUGUGAAAACUGCAACUGAACUGUAAAACUAUACAAGAAAAGUCAGGAGGAAAAAAAAGCAAUUCUUUAAAGCCACAAAGACCACUGCCUGGAUACUUUGAAAGACAGACUUAUACAGAAUGAUGAACUGACCAAUAAGUUAUGUAACGUUUUAUCAAAACCUCCAUGUUAUGUGAAACAUUGUGCAUAAAACAACAUGAUUGUGGCGAGUGGGGCGGGG